AUUGAACGCUGGCGGCAGGCCUAACACAUGCAAGUCGAGCGGAUGAAGGGAGCUUGCUCCUGGAUUCAGCGGCGGACGGGUGAGUAAUGCCUAGGAAUCUGCCUGGUAGUGGGGUAUAACGUCCGGAAACGGGCGCUAAUACCGCAUACUUCCUGAGGGAGAAAGUGGGGGAUCUUCGGACCUCACGCUAUCAGAUGAGCCUAGGUCGGAUUAGCUAGUUGGUGGGGUAAAGGCCUACCAAGGCGACGAUCCGUAACUGGUCUGAGAGGAUGAUCAGUCACAAUGGAACUGAGACACGGUCCAGACUCCUACGGGAGGCAGCAGUGGGGAAUAUUGGACAAUGGGCGAAAGCCUGAUCCAGCCAUGCCGCGUGUGUGAAGAAGGUCUUCGGAUUGUAAAGCACUUUAAGUUGGGAGGAAGGGCAGUAAGUUAAUACCUUGCUGUUUUGACGUUACCAACAGAAUAAGCACCGGCUAACUUCGUG
rnacentral:rRNA from 1 species